AGUGUAGCUCAGUGGGAGAGCACUUGCCUAGCAUGCAUGAGGCUUGGGUUCUAUCCCAAGUACUG
rnacentral:tRNA from 1 species